GACAGAGGGUGCAAACGUUGUUCGGAAUUACUGGCGUAAAGCGAGUGUAGGCGGUUCGGUAAGUCGGAUGUGAAAGCCCCGGGCUCAACCCGGGAAGUGCACUCGAUACUGCCGAGCUAGAGUGUCGGAGAGGUUGGUGGAAUUCUCGGUGUAGAGGUGAAAUUCGUAGAUAUCGAGAGGAACACCGGUGGCGAAGGCGGCCAACUGGACGAACACUGACGCUGAGACUCGAAAGCGUGGGAG
rnacentral:rRNA from 1 species